rnacentral:lncRNA from 1 species
UUUUAUAUUUAAUAAAUGAAAAUUUAUCUAAUUUAAUUAAUCUAUUAAAUAUUAAUUAUUAAUUGACAAAGUUAUAUUUGCUAAAAAUAAUUAAAUAUAUUUAAUUUGAUAAAAUUUAGAAAUAAAUUUGGCAAUGUUUUUCAAAACAAAAGUAACUUAUCUUAACUAUAAAUCAUUUUAAUUUAACUCUUCUAGCGUUCAAAAUUUUGAUUUACUAUUUAAUUUUUUUAAUUUAUUUGAUUUAAGUCAGCCAACUAUAAUUUGACUUUAAAAUUUGGUUGUGUUGUUUAUAUUUAAUUAGUAUAUUUUAUGUAAUUUUUGAAACUAUAAAUUUAUUAAAUUAAGUAAAUAGUUAAAUUUAGAGUCAAAAUAUUAUUAACUUGUUUAAAUUAAAUAACUUAAAAAGUUAUUAAAGUU